UACGUAGGGUGCGAGCGUUGUCCGGAAUUAUUGGGCGUAAAGAGCUUGUAGGCGGUUUGUCGCGUCUGCUGUGAAAUUUCGGGGCUCAACCCCGAACUUGCAGUGGGUACGGGCAGACUAGAGUGUGGUAGGGGAGACUGGAAUUCCUGGUGUAGCGGUGAAAUGCGCAGAUAUCAGGAGGAACACCGAUGCGAAGGCAGGUCUCUGGGCCACUACUGACGCUGAGAAGCGAAAGCAUGGGGAGCGAACAGG
rnacentral:rRNA from 1 species